GCUCACUUGUGUGCCCUUGGACAGCUAGCUUUUCUUCUUGGAGACUCAGUUUCUCUAUGAGGAGGAUGGAGUGUCCAGGUCUUGUCUUCAAAGGAACGCUUCUGGUGGCCAGUGACCAAUUACCUUGAAGAACAAUACCAUCUAUCACAGAAAACCUUUUGGAAAACGGAAGUUCCCAUUCCCAUGGCCCCAUGAGGCUGCAACUCCCUUAGCAGGUCUGUUGAGACUGCAGAGCUUGGGAGGACAGAGCUAGCAUUCAGUGGGCACCUCUCCUGCCACCCGCUCCAUGUCUUGUGUGGUGAACUAUUUAACAGAAAAGCAAACUGAGGCCAAGAAGCUAAGAGCUGUGCUGGGAACCCUGGGAGAUAAUGCAGAUUUUCAGGCUUCUGUUACUGCUGCUUGUCUUCUGUGCCUCCUGCCUGCUCAACCAAGCCACCCUGCCUUACAG